CUGUAACAGAGGGAAGCGAAGCAGUGAUGUGGAGCAAAACCCAAAAAAGACAGUCUCAGUUCGGAUUGAAGGCUGAAAUUCGCCUUCAUGAAGCCGGAAUUGCUAGUAAUGGCAGGUCAGCAUACUGCCGUGAAUACGUUCCCGGGCCUUGUACACACCGCCCGUCACACCAUGAGAGUCGGGAACACCCGAAGUCCGUAGCCUAACCGCAAGGGGGGCGCGGCCGAAGGUGGGUUCGAUAAUUGGGGUGAAGUCGUAACAAGGUACC
rnacentral:rRNA from 1 species